rnacentral:rRNA from 1 species
GAUUAACGCUAGCGGCAGGCAUAAUACAUGCAAGUUGAACGGCAGCACAGGUAGCAAUACUGGGUGGCGAGUGGCGCACGGGUGCGUAACACGUAUGCAACCUACCCUAUACAGGCGAAUAACCUUUAGAAAUGAGGGCUAAUACGCCGUAGUAUUACAGAUGGGCAUCUAUUUGUAAUUGAAGAUUUAUCGGUAUAGGAUGGGCAUGCGUCCCAUUAGUUAGUUGGUAAGGUAACGGCUUACCAAGACGAUGAUGGGUAGGGGAUCUGAGAGGACUUACCCCCACACUGGUACUGAGACACGGACCAGACUCCUACGGGAGGCAGCAGUAAGGAAUAUUGGGCAAUGGCCGCGAGGCUGACCCAGCCAUGCCGCGUGCAGGAAGACGGCCUUAUGGGUUGUAAACUGCUUUUAUACGGGAAUAAUAGAGUGUACGCGUACAUUUAUGCAAGUAUCGUAUGAAUAAGCAUCGGCUAACUCCGUG